rnacentral:rRNA from 1 species
CAUGAAGCUGGAAUCGCUAGUAAUCGCAGAUCAGAAUGCUGCGGUGAAUACGUUCCCGGGUCUUGUACACACCGCCCGUCACACCAUGGGAGUCGGAAAUGCCCGAAGCCAGUGACCCAACCUUAAGGAGGGAGCUGUCGAAGGUGGAGCCGAUAACUGGGGUGAAGUCGUAACAAGGUACC